GUGCUUGCUUUGGCAGCACAUAUACUAAAAUUGGAAUGAUACCGAGAAGAUUAUCACAGCCCCUGCACAAAGAAGACACGGAAAUUUGUGAAGCUUUUUUUUUUUUU